UGAUCCUCAGACUCCAGAACCCCCUAGCUAGAGACUUUCUCCACCACAGAGGUGGGGGUGGGUAAAUCUUUAACUAGCUAGCCCUGGGCAGGCCCCAGACUUUCCGGAUGGAUGGCUGCCUGGGAAGAGGGGGAAGAGGGUGGGAGAUGUUAAGGUGUGUAUAGCCAGUCCCAGUGUGGUGGAGAAGGGAGGGUACUGGGGAGGGAAAAGAACGAGACUCGGGCGGAGCUAACUCCGUGUGCAAAGCAGGACAUGGAGGAACGCGGGUCCCCCGACGGGGACCCCGCGCGGAAUCUGGAGCAGGGGCCAGAAGGGCCAGAGAAGCCGGAAACGCCCAUCCAGGUGGUGCUCAGGGUGCGUCCCAUGAGUGCGGCUGAGCUGCGUCGAGGGGAGCAGAGCGCGCUGCACUGCUCAGGGACUCGGACUCUGCAGGUGAGCCCCCCCGGCGGGGGCCC